rnacentral:lncRNA from 1 species
GUGAAAUAAUGUGAAUAUUUAAGAUGUAAAAAAGGAGGGGCUGGUUUUCCUUCUCUCCCCACCCCAGGGCUGCUCUGGAAGGAACAUGGAUGGGUUUGCUGCUGUUUACAGGAAACUUGAUGGUUUUUUUUCCCUCCACAGACAGGCUGCUCCAUGUCCCCCCGCCAGCGGCUCCCUCCCCUCCGAGGCAAGGUAAGCCGGUCCCCAAAGGGGAAGCGAGGACAAAGCAGGUAUGAUUUUUUUACCCCCCAUCACCAGAAUUAAACAUUUCACCCCCCUCGAAUGAAAGGGACUCCACGGAUCUGUUCAAAACAGUUUAUUGUAUUUUUUUUCGUCAGACAAACACAUUGAUUUCUGGACCACAGUAGAGGAUGGAAACCUUUCACAAACUUAUUUAUUUGAAAAUACAAAUAUAAAAUUAUACUUUCCACAUCUGUGAUGUGAGAGACCCCCAUCCACAUAGUAUUUUACAACAGGGCUUUAGAAAGCCAUACACAGAGACCUGAAAGAUGCUUGAUAUAUAUAGAUACAUAUAUAUAUGUAUAUAUAUAAAAAAAAAGUCACUACCAAAGUUCUCAUCAGUUCAUACUAAAGUAUAAAAGGAAGGGCUAGGCCUGCCACUGUGCCAUAGUUUAUUUAGGUACAUUUAUGACCACCUGAAAUGCUUAGACUUGCAUCCUAGUACUGAUGGAGUUCAGACCUCGUACAACAGAGAAUGACGGGGGGGGAUUCGCUACCUACGAGGGUCGACGCGACAGGGGAGCCCCACACACGGCAUUGGGGGGACACACAGACCCCCGGGGCGGGGGGCACGGGGUCCUGCUCCCCCCCGGGGGCUGCACCCUGCUGGGACACGGAGCUCUCUCGAGACAACACAGUCGGGACUGUUUGGGGACCGAGAACCGAUCACGAGGAUUUACUUUCUCAAACUACUAUUAUUUUUUUUUGUCUUUUUUUUUUUCUUUUUUUUUUUUUUGGUAAUUUUUAUUACAGUAUUAAAGUAUUGCUUAGCUUACAGAAUCUCCUCACGUAGUGUUCGCACGCGGCAAUGGGUUUUGUUUUUUGUUUUGACUCGGAUUCUGUACGUAUGAAACUCUACAGUGUCUGUGCGCAGACCGGGAUCUGCCGGUGUGUCUUCGAUGCAUCCUGUCUCUUCACCUUAACACUAACUUCAGUUUGUUGUUUUUUUUUUUUUUUUUUUCCUGUUUUCAAACUUUUUUGGGUUAAAAAAAAAAAACCAAACCACUUAAAAAAAAAAAAAAAAAAGAAUUCAAAAAAUUCCACCCAAGAGACAUUUCCAUAGCAUAAAAGACAGCUAUGAGUUAGUGUUGGUUUUUUUUUGUUGUUGUUGUGUAUUUUGUAAACAGUUUCAUAUGCAAUAUCAUACAUAACCAUGGCUGGCCUUCAGUAAAAAUGUAGUAAACUAUAUUGCUUUAUUAUUGAUUAUGUUGCAUUGAGUGAAUGGCAGAAACGAAACAGGAAGGUAAGUGUGGCUGGAGUCGCUAGCCCUCAUUCACACUAGGGAUGAAAACAGCAUCCUAGGCUUCAGAGCAGGGAAGAAAAAGAAAUCUGAACACCUUUCAGGUCGUUAUUACCAACAAUUACCCAAUGGUUGAACUAGCCUAGCAAGAUGUGUCACAUUCACCAGCGGUACGCUGCUGUACAAUGGAAAAAUAAUAAUAAUAAUAAUAAACUUACAGCACCUUAAGCCA